rnacentral:ncRNA from 2 species
GGCAGCACGGGAGAGCGACCCGUCGGCUGGCAGUCAAAGCAACCCUUGGCACGAGCGAUUGUCAGGGGCGGCUUUCUGCGCUUUUCAGAAAUCGGAAGAAAUUUGUACCUUUUGAGACGAAGGUGUGUAUACCGACGAACUUGCUUUCAGCGGAUACCGCAUCGCUCGGGGAGAACGCUGUUCUCCUCGCGGUUCCGUCGCCCCA